GUGCCAGCAGCCGCGGUAAUAGUAGGGGGCAAGCGUUGUCCGGAAUUAUUGGGCGUAAAGCGCGCGCAGGCGGUCCUUUAAGUCUGAUGUGAAAGCCCACGGCUUAACCGUGGAGGGCCAUUGGAAACUGGAGGACUUGAGUACAGAAGAGGAGAGUGGAAUUCCACGUGUAGCGGUGAAAUGCGUAGAGAUGUGGAGGAACACCAGUGGCGAAGGCGACUCUCUGGUCUGUAACUGACGCUGAGGUGCGAAAGCGUGGGUAGCGAACAGGAUUAGAUACCCUGGUAGUCCACGCCGUAAACGAUGAGUGCUAGGUGUUAGGGGGUUUCCGCCCCUUAGUGCUGAAGUUAACGCAUUAAGCACUCCGCCUGGGGAGUACGGCCGCAAGGCUGAAACUCAAAAUGCAUGCAUGCGGUGGAGCAUGUGGUUUAAUUCGAAGCAACGCGAAGAACCUUACCAGGUCUUGACAUCCUCUGACACCCCUAGAGAUAGGGCAUUCCCUUCGGGGACAGAGUGACAGGUGGUGCAUGGUUGUCGUCAGCUCGUGUCGUGAGAUGUGGGUAAGUCCGCACGAGCGCACCCUGA
rnacentral:rRNA from 1 species